rnacentral:rRNA from 1 species
GAUGAACGCUGGCGGCGUGCCUAAUACAUGCAAGUCGAGCGAACGGACGAGAAGCUUGCUUCUCUGAUGUUAGCGGCGGACGGGUGAGUAACACGUGGAUAACCUACCUAUAAGACUGGGAUAACUUCGGGAAACCGGAGCUAAUACCGGAUAAUAUUUUGAACCGCAUGGUUCAAAAGUGAAAGACGGUCUUGCUGUCACUUAUAGAUGGAUCCGCGCUGCAUUAGCUAGUUGGUAAGGUAACGGCUUACCGAGGCAACGAUGCAUAGCCGACCUGAGAGGGUGAUCGGCCACACUGGAACUGGGACACGGUCCAGACUCCUACGGGAGGCAGCAGUAGGGAAUCUUCCGCAAUGGGCGAAAGCCUGACGGAGCAACGCCGCGUGAGUGAUGAAGGUCUUCGGAUCGUAAAACUCUGUUAUUGGGGAAGAACAUAUGUGUAAGUAACUGUGCACAUCUUGACGGUACCUAAUCAGAAAGCCACGGCUAACUACGUG